CGGCUGCGGAGGCUGGCGCGGGCUGCUGCACCUUUAACGCUUUCUGGCGCUGACAGGCGGCGGCCCAGCUAAAGUUCACAGCGCCCGGGGAGGGCCCGCCUCCGCCUCCCCUCCCGCCCCCGCCUCCCCUCCCCCAGGCCGGCCCCGGCCCCCGGCCCCGGACAGGCCCGCCGCGCGGCCGCUUGAGCUGCGAGCUGAGGAGGCCCGUUGGCUGUUCCCGCAAAGAGUGGGGGGCGCAUUUUCUCUCCUGCCAGCCCGCUCCAUCCUGGUCGUUUAUUCCCGGCCUUCCCUCACCCCCCACCCCCACAGCCUGCUGGGAAACCAGACGACCCAGCGGCCACGGGACGAGUCACCCCAACUCAACCCCAGCAGGACGCUGGAGGGGCCUCCCUUGCCCACCUCUCUUCGCUAGCACUGGCCUCCCGCACCUGGGUCUGCAGUCCCUCCGCCAUCUCACAAGUGUGCAGCCGCUAGGCCUGGGGGAUCCGAAUGACUGGGGCUGGAUAGGAAUGCCUUCGUGUUUCCCAAGACCCCCGGGCCUGCUCCACAAAGUUUGAAGGGAGGAGUUGAGGCGCCUUGAAUUUUCCUUCGCGAGUUUGGAGACCAGCCGAUUUUUCAUGAAGCAAGCAAGGGCCGCGGUCCCGGAUCCUGCAACAUAUACCUCAUUUUCUCCAGGCCUCUCCACUUGCCCGAGCUCUCAGCCACCAGGAGACAGACGGAAGGGGCUUCUGGGCUGUGUUGGGAGCGGGCAUUGUCCCCUACCCACUCCUGCACAGUUUCCCAAAGUCCAGCGACCUCCGACCCUCCUUGGGGAAAAAAAUACCAGUACCCAGACACCUCUGCACCCUGUUAUAUGACUGGGCUUGCUUCAGGAAUAUCUUACAAAGAAGAAGAAGGAGGAGGAACGGCUUGGAGUCAUGUUUACAUCUAGUUCUACUGAUCCGUUCACAUCUGGAGAGUUUAUUUAUAACUCCCUCUAUAACUCUCUGUUUGGAGGCACUGGUGGCUCUACUGACAGACUGAUGUCUAGGAAAUAUUGCUCUAUGUCUAAUGGUACCUAAAUGUGCUGUGGUUGUAUUUACAGAUUUACGUUUGAGGGAAAUAUAAUUAUUUCCAUUGUAUUUGUGCAUAUACAGUAGUUAUAGGAGCAGAUUUAUAUAUGGGAAAAUAUGCGACUCCCUUACAGCCAUCCGGCUUUAUGUACAUUUGAUAUCCUGACAGAUUUAUAUCUCUGAAGAGCUAUAUAGAUUAAAACGUAUAUUGUUAGAAUUAUGUAUCAGGAGAUAUAUACUUAUUGAUUGCGAAAUAGAGUAGUUAGAGCAUUCACUUAGAGCCAUAUAUGGCUAUGGAGAUAUUUCUAUAUUAUUAUCACUAUAUAUAGGCAUAUCUAUUUAUAACUGCAUAGUUAUAAAAAUAGACAUAA
rnacentral:lncRNA from 1 species